rnacentral:tRNA from 1 species
UGCGGGGUCGUCUAUUGGUAGGACGCCUGACUCUGGAUCAGGUAGUCGGGGUUCGAGUCCCUGCCCCGCAG